rnacentral:misc_RNA from 1 species
GGACAACAGAUAUUCUAUGGACAAGCCCCACCUGCUAUCAUACCUCCUCAGCCUGGAUUUGGAUAUCAGCAGCAGCUUGUACCUGGUAUGAGGCCUGGUGGGGCUCCUUUGCCAAAUUUCUUUGUGCCAAUGGUUCAUCAGGGGCAGCAGGGACAGCGUCCUGGUGGUCGACGGGCUGGAGCUGCUCAGCAAUCCCAGCAG